rnacentral:misc_RNA from 1 species
GAUGAAGAACGCAGCGAAAUGCGAUAAGUAGUGUGAAUUGCAGAAUUCAGUGAAUCAUCGAAUCUUUGAACGCACAUUGCGCCCCUUGGUAUCCCGAGGGGCAUGCCUGUUCGAGCGUCAUUUCACCACUCAAGCCUGGCUUGGUGUUGGGCGACGUCCCCUUUGGGGACGCGCCUCGAAACGCUCGGCGGCGUGGCACCGGCUUUAAGCGUAGCAGAAUCUUUCGCUUUGAAAGUCGGGGCCCCGUCUGCCGGAAGACCUACUCGCAAGGUUGACCUCGGAUCAGGCAGGGAUACCCGCUGAACUUAAGCAUAUCAAUAAGCGGAGGA